rnacentral:tRNA from 1 species
CCAUUGCUCAGUUGGUAAAGCACAAGGCUCUUAACCUUAUGGAUGUGGAUUCAAGCCCCAUGAUGGG